GGUGAACGCUGGCGGCGUGCCUAACACAUGCAAGUCGAUCGGAGCAGCAAUGCUUAGAGGCGAACGGGUGAGGAAAACGUAGUAACCAACCCUUUAGACUGGGAUAGCCACUGGAAACGGUGGGUAAUACCGGAUAAGCUCGAGAGAGGAAAGGCAGAGAAGCGCUAAGGACGGAACUGCGCCCAUCAGAUAGUUGGUGAGGUAAAGGCUUACCAAGUCAAAGACGGGAAACCGACGUGAGAGCGUGUACGGUCACAAGGGCACUGAGAGACCGGGCCCUACUCCUACGGGAGGCAGCAGGUGGGAAUAUUGGACAAUGGACGAAAGUCUGAUCCAGCGACGCCGCGUGCAGGAAGACAGCCCUAUGGGUUGUAAACUGCUUUUAUAUGGGAGCAAUAAGGUCUACGUGUAGACUGAUGAGAGUACCAUAUGAAUAAGCAUCGGCUAACUCCGUG
rnacentral:rRNA from 1 species